rnacentral:lncRNA from 1 species
AUCUAGCCGAGAAGCCCCUAUUGGAGACUUUUCUGCUAAAGACAACCUGUCUAGGAGAUCAGCAGCUGGUGGAACAAUGACCAGCCAACUUUAUGAGACUGUUCAAGGCUACAGGGCCAGUAGAGCAGCAUCCAGCAGAGGCUCAUGGGGAGCAAGACAAAAGGAGCAGCAUAGGAACCUCACUGAACGCUGUACUGGGGGCAUGAGUUGUCUUUCCAGCUACACUGCUGCAAGUAGAAUCUUCAUAGAGCUUUGUGUUGCAGGAAUGAAUAAUGAAGGCAUCAGGGUCCUGGUGUUUCAAUGAAGUCGUGAGGAAGUAUGGAUUACAAGAGACAAAUCUUCUUUGCUUCAAUGCACUGAAACCUGGGUCAUCAUCAGUCAUCUUGAUGCAUUUGAACGACUCUGGAAGAGGGACUGAAGCCAACUACUACUGUGCAACUCUGCCUCAGUUAAAUACAAUUGCGGUGCAAGUCAUCACCCUUAUGAUGUCAUUGGUUUUCUUUGAAAAUGAAGGACAACAAUAACAAAGGCCCUUUCCCCCUCCCUUUUACCAACCCUUUCCGUUUUAACUACCCAGGGGUAAAUAAAAUUGGUCUAACC